AUUGAACGCUGGCGGCGUGCUUAACACAUGCAAGUCGAUCGGUAACGCGGGGGCAACCCUGGCGACGAGAGGCGGACGGGUGAGUAACGCUUGGGAAUCUGCCCAUCAGCGGGGGACGAACCCGGGAAACCCGGGCUAAUACCGCAUACGCUCCACGGAGGAAAGCAGGGGACCGCAAGGCCUUGCACUGAUGGAUGAGCCCAAGUCGGAUUAGCUAGUUGGCGGGGUAACGGCCCACCAAGGCGACGAUCCGUAGCUGGUCUGAGAGGACGAUCAGCCACACCGGAACUGAGACACGGUCCGGACUCCUACGGGAGGCAGCAGUGGGGGAAUAUUGGACAAUGGGGGAAACCCUGAUCCAGCGACGCCGCGUGGGUGAAGAAGGCCUGCGGGUUGUAAAGCCCUUUCGGUAGGGACGAAGACUUUCGACCUAACACGUCGGAAGGUU
rnacentral:rRNA from 1 species